rnacentral:rRNA from 1 species
CGGACGACGCUGGCGGCGUGCCUAACACAUGCAAGUCGAGCGAGUGAAUCUCCUUCGGGAGUGAAGCUAGCGGCGGACGGGUGAGUAACACGUGGGCAACCUGCCUCAUAGAGGGGAAUAGCCUUCCGAAAGGGAGAUUAAUACCGCAUAAGAUUGUAGCUUCGCAUGAAGUAGCAAUUAAAGGAGCAAUCCGCUAUGAGAUGGGCCCGCGGCGCAUUAGCUAGUUGGUGAGGUAAUGGCUCACCAAGGCGACGAUGCGUAGCCGACCUGAGAGGGUGAUCGGCCACAUUGGGACUGAGACACGGCCCAGACUCCUACGGGAGGCAGCAGUGGGGAAUAUUGCACAAUGGGGGAAACCCUGAUGCAGCAACGCCGCGUGAGUGAUGACGGCCUUCGGGUUGUAAAGCUCUGUCUUCAGGGACGAUAAUGACGGUACCUGAGGAGGAAGCCACGGCUAACUACGUG